rnacentral:rRNA from 1 species
GCAAGUCGAGCGAACAGACGAGGAGCUUGCUCCUCUGACGUUAGCGGCGGACGGGUGAGUAACACGUGGAUAACCUACCUAUAAGACUGGGAUAACUUCGGGAAACCGGAGCUAAUACCGGAUAAUAUAUUGAACCGCAUGGUUCAAUAGUGAAAGACGGUUUUGCUGUCACUUAUAGAUGGAUCCGCGCCGCAUUAGCUAGUUGGUAAGGUAACGGCUUACCAAGGCAACGAUGCGUAGCCGACCUGAGAGGGUGAUCGGCCACACUGGAACUGAGACACGGUCCAGACUCCUACGGGAGGCAGCAGUAGGGAAUCUUCCGCAAUGGGCGAAAGCCUGACGGAGCAACGCCGCGUGAGUGAUGAAGGUCUUCGGAUCGUAAAACUCUGUUAUUAGGGAAGAACAAAUGUGUAAGUAACUAUGCACGUCUUGACGGUACCUAAUCAGAAAGCCACGGCUAACUACGUGCCAGCAGCCGCGGUAAUACGUAGGUGGCAAGCGUUAUCCGGAAUUAUUGGGCGUAAAGCGCGCGUAGGCGGUUUUUUAAGUCUGAUGUGAAAGCCCACGGCUCAACCGUGGAGGGUCAUUGGAAACUGGAAAACUUGAGUGCAGAAGAGGAAAGUGGAAUUCCAUGUGUAGCGGUGAAAUGCGCAGAGAUAUGGAGGAACACCAGUGGCGAAGGCGACUUUCUGGUCUGUAACUGACGCUGAUGUGCGAAAGCGUGGGGAUCAAACAGGAUUAGAUACCCUGGUAGUCCACGCCGUAAACGAUGAGUGCUAAGUGUUAGGGGGUUUCCGCCCCUUAGUGCUGCAGCUAACGCAUUAAGCACUCCGCCUGGGGAGUACGACCGCAAGGUUGAAACUC